rnacentral:rRNA from 1 species
CAGCACCUCAAGUGGUCAGGAUGAUUAUUGGGCCUAAAGCAUCCGUAGCCGGCUCUGUAAGUUUUCGGUUAAAUCUGUAUGCUCAACAUACAGGCUGCCGGGAAUACUGCAGAGCUAGGGAGUGGGAGAGGUAGACGGUGCUCGGUAGGAAGGGGUAAAAUCCUUUGAUCUAUUGAUGACCACCUGUGGCGAAGGCGGUCUACCAGAACACGUCCGACGGUGAGGGAUGAAAGCUGGGGGAGCAAACCGGAUUAGAUACCCGAGUAGUCC